GGAGGCGUCGCCUAGCGGCCGAUGGCGCCGGUCUUGAAAACCGGUAGGGCGCAAGCCCUCGUGGGUUCAAAUCCCACCGCCUCCG
rfam:Acidothermus cellulolyticus 11B, complete genome.